rnacentral:rRNA from 1 species
AUGGAUGCUUAUGUCAAACUAGGCCCUGAUGAUGCUAUGUGGAGAUUAACUUGUGUCUACGGUGAACCGAGGGUAGAGGACAGACACAACAUGUGGACUAUGCUGAAUAAUAUGAGUACCCAAUCUGACCUCCCUUGGUUAGUAGUGGGCGACUUCAAUGAGUGUAUGUGGGACUUCGAACAUUUUUCUCUAACCCCGAGACCUGUCGGACAGAUGCAAGCCUUCCGGGAUUGUCUUGAGAUUUGUGACUUGGCAGAUUUGGGUUUCACAGGGGUGGCUCAUACGUAUGAUAAAAGGAGUGGUGCAGGCAAUGUACAGGUACGGCUGGAUAGGGCAGUUGCGUCCCCUUCUUGGCGCAAUUCUUUCGAGCACCCUACCAUUCGACACUUAGUCUCGGCAGUCUCGGACCAUGUGGUCGUGCAUGUGAGGUGUGAUAUAUUGGUGGACCAGCAUGUAAAAAAGAAAUUUCGCCAAUAUGAAGUUAUGUGGGAACGCGAUCCGGUCCUGCAAGAAGUAAUUUCGAAGGCAUGGGCGGAGGUAGGGCAGAAGUCAUGUCUUGGGGAUGUUCAUGCAGCACUAAGAUCUACCAUGAGUAAUCUUUUUUGCUGGAGCAAGCAGGAGUUUGGUAAUAUUGCAUGCGAGAUAGAGAAGUCCAGAACUCAGUUAGAGGAACUAAUGCUAAUGAAUGCAGAUAGAUGCGAUAUACAACGUGUUACAGACAAGAUGAAUGACCUUUUGUAUCGGGAGGAGCUGAUGUGGUUACAAAGGUCAAGAAUUGAUUGGCUGAAGGCAGGGGAUCGCAACACAAUUUUUUUUCAUGCAAAGGCAGUGUGGAGAGCUCGGAAAAAUAGAGUGAAUAAGUUGCAGGAUGCGCAUGGCAUGAACCACACAGGAAUUAAGGAGAUGGGUGCUGCAGCCACAAGCUAUUUUGAAAAUCUAUUUACGUCUGACCCAAGUAUUGAUCAUACUCCUGUUACAGAAUUGUCCGAACAAGUUAUAACUCCAGAAGUAAAUGAGGGGUUGUGCGCAGAGUUCACAAACAAGGAAAUAGUGGAUGCGCUCUUCCAGAUUGGUCCCUUAAAGGCUCUGGGGCCUGACGGUUUCCCUGCUCGUUUUUUCCAGCGCAAUUGGGCAACGGUGAAAGAAAGUAUUGUUGUGGCAGUAAAAGACUUCUUUCGCACAGGUAUAAUGCCCCCUGGUGUUAAUGAUACUAUAAUUGUUAUGAUCCCUAAAACUGAUAAUCCCAUGAAAAUUACGUAUUUCCGUCCCAUCAGUUUAUGCAAUGUUGUGUACAAAGUGGUCUCAAAGUGGCUCGUAAAUCGCUUGAGGCCAGUUCUUGAUGACAUUAUUUCACCUGCUCAAAGUGCAUUUAUACCUGGACGUUUGAUCACUGACAAUGCCUUUGUAGCUUUUGAAUGCAUACAUCACAUCAAGCAAGAGAAAGAUCCCACGAAGAGCUACUGUGUGUAUAAGCUUGAUCUCUCAAAGGCUUAUGACAGGGUGGAUUGGAACUACCUUAAGCAAAUGAUGCAAAAGCUUGGCUUCGCUCACCGCUGGGUCGACUGGAUAAUGUCAUGUGUGACCUUGGUGAGAUACUUCGUAAAAUUUAAUGUAGCUAUCUUGGAUUCGUUUGCACCGACGCGUGGUCUUCGGCAAGGUGAUCCACUAUCCCCUUAUUUGUUCCUAUUUGUUGCCGACGGCUGCUCCGCUCUUAUCACCAAGGGUAUUGAAUCUGGAAAUUUAUCUCCGCUGAAAAUUACAAGAAGAGCUCCCGGUGUUACACAUCUAUUAUUUGCAGAUGACACGCUUUUAUUCUUCAAAGCUUGUGACCAAGAAGCAAAUUACAUCAAGAGUAUCUUGGUUGAUUAUGCGAAUGCCACUGGGCAGUUGAUAAACCCCUCCAAAUGCUCAUUGUUGACCGGGACAUCUUGUCCAGAUGGGGUUACGGAGAAUGUGAAAGUGGUGUUGCAGCUACUCUCUUCGGGGUUUGAGGAGAAAUAUUUGGGAUUGCCGACCCCAGAUGGAAGGAUGUCAAAAGGCAAGUUUCAGAACCUGCAGGUCAAGUUAACCAAGCGCUUUUUUGCCUUUGAUGGACAUCCAACACAGGCAGGAAAAGAAGUGCUCAUUACAGCAAUUGCCCAAUCAAUCCCAACAUAUAUAAUGAGUGUUUUCAAGCUCCCACUAGAAGUGUGCGAUGAUCUAAAUCGCAUGGUUAGAAACUAUUAUUGGGGGGCAAAAAAAGGGAAGAGGAAAACUCAUUGGUAUGCCUGGCAUAAAAUGACAAGGCCUAAAAAACAGGGCGGGCUGGGAUUUAAGGAUUUUCGGCUGUUUAAUUAA